GCUCAGUUGGUAAAGCAUAAGGCUCUUAACCUUGUGGACGUGGAUUCAAGUCCCAU
rnacentral:tRNA from 1 species